rnacentral:lncRNA from 1 species
AGCUGACUGAGAAGAAUAUAGUAUUACUCCAUGAGCAAUUUCAGAUUCCUCCAACGUUCCAGCUAGAAGUUCUGAAGCUAGAUGAUCGAGUCUGCCAACCACCCCCAGGCUAGAUGAGUCUCUAAGAAAAAUACUUCUGGACUGGGUUGCGGCUUCCUCUUCACCCUUUCUUCAUGGCUCUCCUUCAAUAUCUUGGGAUGUCAUCAUGCUCGGUGGUUCCGAACUCCUGACGGUAUAUCUUCUGCUUCACUGUAAUAUGCAUGUUGGUGAGGAUUGACCCCAGCAUCACACUCUUCUGCUACCUCUUCAGCCUCAAAAGGCAUCCAGAGUUCCAUGGCUGAUGUUACGUGACACCAUAAAGGAAGAAGGACUUCCACCCAC